rnacentral:rRNA from 1 species
GAUUACGACCAUACCGCGUUGAAAGCACGCCAUCCCGUCCGAUCUGGCAAGUUAAGCAACGUUGGGCCUCCUUAGUACUUGGAACGGAGACGUCCUGGAAUCUGGGGUGACGUAAGCUU